AAAUUAAAGUAUAGUUUUUUGAAAAAAUAUUUUAAAUUUUCUUUAUAUGAUAUAAUGUAAAUUUUUUUUUUUAAAGGUAGAAGAAAUAUUUAUUAUUUUAAUAAUAUUAAAAUAGAAAUUUAAUUAUUAAUUUGGCUAAAGUUGUGCCAGCCGCCGCGGUUAUACAAGUGAAUUAGUUUUUUAUUUUGCUAUUUUUAAUAAAAAUUAGAAUUUAUUUUAAAAAAUUAUUAAGGUGAAAUUUUUAAUUUUGUGAGAAUACGUUGAUUUUAAGAAAAUUUUAAUUUUAAACUAGGAUUAGAUACCCUACUAUUUAAAGCUUGGUAUUGUUAGUAAGUAAAAUUUAUGAAACCAUAAGAUUUUGGCGGUAUUUUAAGCUUUUUAGAGGAAUUUGCUCUGUAAUGGAUAAAACGCCUAGAUCUUGCUUAAUUUUGUUAAAUCAGUUUGUAUACCACUAUAUUUAAUUAUAUUAAAUGGUUAUAUUUAAGAUUUUCUUUGGAAAGUAUAUUAAGUCAAGGUGCAGCAUAAAGUUAUGAAUGAAGUGAAUUACAUUGAUUUUUAUUUUAAAGAUUUGAAAAAAGAUUAGGAUUUAAAAGUAAAAUGCUAAUAUAAUGAGUAUUUGAAUUAAGCUCUAGAAUAUGCACAUAUCGCCCGUCGCUCUCAGCUAUGAGAUAAGUCGUAACAAAGUAAAAGUACUGGAAAGUGCUUUU
rnacentral:ncRNA from 1 species